GUGCUUGCUUCUGUAGCACAUACAUUAAAAUUGCAAUGAUACAGAGAAGGUUAUCUUGGCCCCUGCACAAGAUGUCAUAGACUGAACUUCAGAAUUAAAGAUGUAGU
ensembl:snRNA U6 U6 spliceosomal RNA